AGUGAACGCUGGCGGUAGGCCUAACACAUGCAAGUCGAACGGCAGCACAGUAAGAGCUUGCUCUUACGGGUGGCGAGUGGCGGACGGGUGAGGAAUACAUCGGAAUCUACUUUUUCGUGGGGGAUAACGUAGGGAAACUUACUCUAAUACCGCAUACGACCUACGGGUGAAAGCAGGGGAUCUUCGGACCUUGCGCGAUUGAAUGAGCCGAUGUCGGAUUAGCUAGUUGGCGGGGUAAAGGCCCACCAAGGCGACGAUCCGUAGCUGGUCUGAGAGGAUGAUCAGCCACACUGGAACUGAGAAACGGUCCAGACUCCUACGGGAGGCAGCAGUGGGGAAUAUUGGACAAUGGGCGCAAGCCUGAUCCAGCCAUACCGCGUGGGUGAAGAAGGCCUUCGGGUUGUAAAGCCCUUUUGUUGGGAAAGAAAAGCAGCAGGUUAAUACCCCGCUGUUCUGACGGUACCCAAAGAAUAAGCACCGGCUAACUUCGUG
rnacentral:rRNA from 1 species